UGGGAAUUUGGACAAUGGGCGAAAGCCUGAUCCAGCAAUGCCGCGUGUGUGAAGAAGGCCUUCGGGUUGUAAAGCACUUUUGUCCGGAAAGAAAUCCUUGGCUCUAAUACAGUCGGGGGAUGACGGUACCGGAAGAAUAAGCACCGGCUAACUACGUGCCAGCAGCCGCGGUAAUACGUAGGGUGCAAGCGUUAAUCGGAAUUACUGGGCGUAAAGCGUGCGCAGGCGGUUUGCUAAGACCGAUGUGAAAUCCCCGGGGCUCAACCUGGGAACUGCAUUGGUGACUGGCAGGCUAGAGUAUGGCAGAGGGGGGUAGAAUUCCACGUGUAGCAGUGAAAUGCGUAGAGAUGUGGAGGAAUACCGAUGGCGAAGGCAGCCCCCUGGGCCAAAUACUGACGCUCAUGCACGAAAGCGUGGGGAGCAAAACAGGAUUAGAUACCCUGGUAGUCCACGCCCUAAAACCGAUGUCAACUAGUUGUUGGGGAUUCAUUUCCUUAGUAACGUAGCUAACGCGUGAAGUUGACCGCCUGGGGAGUACGGUCGCAAGAUUAAAACUCAAAGGAA
rnacentral:rRNA from 1 species